CUGCUGGACCCAGCCCUGAUAUUGUAGCAGAGGACGUAUCUGAGAAUUAUGAUGAUGUCAUUACUGAUGAUCAGAACGCUGCUGUUGUGACAGAGGAGAUGACAGAGAACUCUGAUGAUGUUAUUACCACUGGACCAAACCCAAACAUUA